UACGUAGGUGGCAAGCGUUGUCCGGAAUUACUGGGUGUAAAGGGAGCGUAGGCGGGAGGAUAAGUUGGACGUAUAAACUAUCGGCUCAACCGGUAGAGGCGUUCAAAACUGUCCUUCUUGAGUGAAGUAGAGGUAAGCGGAAUUCCUAGUGUAGCGGUGAAAUGCGUAAAUAUUAGGAGGAACACCAGUGGCGAAGGCGGCUUACUGGGCUUUAACUGACGCUGAGGCUCGAAAGCGUGGGUAGCAAA
rnacentral:rRNA from 1 species